rnacentral:lncRNA from 1 species
CCACCUUCAUGAAACCACCGAUGAAGUCUCUUCCCAUCAGGCGAACCAGAAGAGAGAGCCUUGGAAGAAUGUGGAAGCAUUGCUCCAUUUCCUCUCACAUCAGGGACAGCUAAUGCAGAAGACGGAGCACCAGGAACCGUCAAAUCAGGUUCUUCGCUUUUUAUCGUCUCAGACACAUUCUUCUUAGCUUUCUCGUUAGCCAAAACAGAAUGAAUGAUCAAGUUCCCGUCGAUCUUCACAAGCCCAUCGUUCCUUGGAACGUAGAGAGAAGCAAAGAGAGGCUCACUGGCAUUACUCAGUCGUCCUUCUACUCCCCCACAACUAUCUCUAAUAGAACAGACACUUUCUCUUCUAACAUCAGACCCAUCACCAACCAUAAGAACCUUCCCUCUAUGCUCAUCAUAAUGCCUACGACCCUCAUACUUAGCCAAACCACGAUCUCCUCCAUUGUCAACAUUCAUAAACGGAACCAACAUACCAAACAAGAACAUAAAGAAGAGAAUCCCAAUAAAACUAACACUAGCAACCUUCUUGAGCUUGCUUCUCCCCUCUCCCUUCUUGGGUCUACUACAACUCGGGAGAGGCAAUUUAGGAACCAAUGGAAUCUGUGAUCCAUAAGGAUACGGCAUCCACUGAUAAGGUAAAGGCGGUGGAGCAAUGUAAGGAUUCAUAGGAGGAGGAGCCAUCAUCUGCUGCCUUAGCGCUGCAUUCUCAGCCAUCACAUACGAGAUCUUGCCGUUCAAUUCAGCAAUGGUGGAGUUCAUACUCUUGACUUUCCCUUGAAGCUCCUCAACGUAUUGCUUCUUCCUUAAUCUCGAAAGCUGAGCGCUCUCGCGGUUCCUAAUCAGCCUCGCCUUCUUCUUCUCAUCGUCCUCCUCCACAGGAGAAGCUGAUUUCUCAUCAGACUUUUGGUACUUGAAGCUCCUGUAUUCUCCUCCAGAGUCUCCCUUCUUCCUCUUGCUCUUCGAGCCUUGCGACGAGACCUGUGAAUGAACAAAAUCAGAUCCAUCUUCUAAACCUCUAUCCACGAUCUUUAUCUCCGGUAAAUCCAUAUUCGCAUGGGUCGCGAUCGAUUCUGUGAUUGCCACCGGGAGAUCCGCGUCGAGGUCGAAAUCGAAGAAAUCAACGGAAUCGUCGAACGAGAAAUCCAAAUCCGCCAAGUCUCCGUUCUCGUCGUCGAGGAGGAAGCUUAGAUCGGAAAUUACACCUACCAUUAUAGUAGAGCCGAGUUAGACAAAAUAUCCGUAAAUUUUUAUUUGAUUCGUUAUUUGUUUUAAUUUAACUGAAAACUCUAGAUAUCCGUAAUUCUACGAAGCAACCCAAUCCAAAUACUAAUAUGCAAUAUCCUUAAGAAACGAAACAAAUCACAAGUGUUAUAAAAAAAGUCUAGGCGUGAACGAAACGAUUUUUUCAAACCAAUUUAUUAAAAAAUCUGUCUAGGGUUAAAAAAACAUUGGCCUAAAGGCCCCCGCCUAAACAAUAAUCUUCUAUAAGGUGCCAUGUAGGGAGAAGCUGGAGUUCUUGUGUAUGAAGAUGCCAUGUGAGCUUGUGCCAGCAAGGUAGCGGAGGAUUCUUUUGGCUGCGUUCCCAUGAUCUAUGGUGGGCUUGUGCAUGAACUGUGAGAGACGAGUAACAGCAAAAGAGAUAUCUGGUCUUGUGAAAGUAAGAUAUUGGAGACUUCCAACCACAGAUCUGUAUUCAGUUCCAUCACCAAGAAGAGUUCCGCCAUGCAGCGUCAGUUUUGGCGAGGUGGGUAGAGGCGUGGUUACAGGUUUAGCUUCAGACAUGUUGGUUCUGUGUAGGAGAUCUGUAAUAUAUUUCCGUUGCAUUAGAUGAAGACGAGUCGUUGUACGAGUUGCUUCAAUGCCAAGAAAAUACUGCAGAUCAGUCGGGUCUUUGAUCGAGAAGCGCUGAGAUUAUGUCGGAUUCAGGUAGCCACAAGAUGGAGACCUGACCGGGGAAGAACGCAUGAGUAGGUAACGUACUUGACACUGUCUAGAAGCACCACCACGAAGAUACGGGAAAGUGAUUUCGGGUUUGAGGGCAUGACUCUAUCGGUUUCAGGGUCAACGACCUCUCUUGGAUCAAGCAACACUGAGACAACCAUUGACGAGGAUGUGGGUUUGGUAUUAGCUUUCCCAUGAAAGCUCUUGUUUUGGGCGUCUUUGCUUGCCUGGGCUUCCGUGAUGUUAAGCUCAGAUGCCAAACGUGAAACCGGAAGCCCCUCGAGAAUCCUCCUGUUCUUCAUUCUCUUGUCUCGGGUGGUGGUGACAUUUUGGAGAUGCUCCCUUGUAAUGUUGGAGACUGAUGAUGGGACAAUAGCACCUGGAGAAAUAUCGAACUGGAAGACCUCGGUGCACAUGCUAUAAUCCAUUAGUGUCCCUACAAUAGAUGCAGUAAAAGGGUUAGCUCUAAUAUCAUUCCACUUAGUAAAAUCACAAGAAGAGCGCGAAAGUUACCUGCGCCACCUUCAUGAAACCACCGAUGAAGUCUCUUCCCAUCAGGCGAACCAGAAGAGAGAGCCUUGGAAGAAUGUGGAAGCAUUGCUCCAUUUCCUCUCACAUCAGGGACAGCUAAUGCAGAAGACGGAGCACCAGGAACCGUCAAAUCAGGUUCUUCGCUUUUUAUCGUCUCAGACACAUUCUUCUUAGCUUUCUCGUUAGCCAAAACAGAAUGAAUGAUCAAGUUCCCGUCGAUCUUCACAAGCCCAUCGUUCC